rnacentral:rRNA from 1 species
UGGGGAAUAUUGCACAAUGGGGGAAACCCUGAUGCAGCGACGCCGCGUGAACGAAGAAGGUAUUCGUAUCGUAAAGUUCUGUCCUAUGGGAAGAUAAUGACAGUACCAUAGAAGAAAGCUCCAGCUAAAUACGUGCCAGCAGCCGCGGUAAUACGUAUGGAGCGAGCGUUGUCCGGAAUUAUUGGGCGUAAAGGGUACGCAGGCGGUUUAAUAAGUCGAAUGUUAAAGAUCGGGGCUCAACCCCGUAAAGCAUUGGAAACUGAUAAACUUGAGUAGUGGAGAGGAAAGUGGAAUUCCUAGUGUAGUGGUGAAAUACGUAGAUAUUAGGAGGAAUACCAGUAGCGAAGGCGACUUUCUGGACACAAACUGACGCUGAGGUACGAAAGCGUGGGGAGCAAACAGG